UCUCAAAGUUGGCCCUGCCUAGCUGAAC
rnacentral:piRNA from 1 species